AUAAAGUUUGAUUCUGUCUUAUGGAAAUUUCUUUUUGGUGGUUAAACAUGCGAGAAUUUUCGGGAUUUUUUAAUCUUAAUGGUUAUUUAUUUUUAUUUGCAGUUUUAAGUUUUAAAAAUUAGAGGAAUCUAGAUUUAGCUAAUUGAUUGAGUUUUGACCAAGGUUGUGCCAGCAGUCGCGGUUACACAUCUUAAAGCCAGAGAUUUUUUUCGGUUGAAUUAUUUAAUUAUUAUUAUUUUAUAUUUAAAUUAUGUCCUUUUAAGUGAAAUUAUGGGAUUUAAAAAUUGUGAUUUUAUGAUAAAAAUAAGAAAGUUCUAGGUGGAAUAAGGAUUAGAUACCCUUUUACUAUGAAUUGUUAAUAUUUGCCUUAGUAUUAAUAGAUAUGUUCUUAAAAUUAGAAGGAUUUGGCGGUAAUUUAGUCUUUCCAGAGGAACCUGCCCUGUAAUUGAUAAUCCACGAUAAAUUUUACUUUAUUUGGGCUUGUAUAUCUCUGUCAUUGAAUGUUUUGUAAGGAUAUCUUCGGUAAUUUUUAUGGAAAUAAUGUCAGGUCAAGGUGCAGCAAUAAUAAAGAAGAGGUGGGUUACAUUGUAAUUAUAUUUUGGAUAUAAAUAUGGAAAUUUUAUUGAAAUUGGAUUUGGGAGUAAAUAUAAUUAUAAUAUUAUAUUGAUUUAGCUCUAAAUUAUGUACACAUCGCCCGUCACUCUCGUUAAUUAAGAUGAGAUAAGUCGUAACAAAGUAGGCCUACCGGAAGGCAGGCCUGGAAAUAU
rnacentral:ncRNA from 1 species